CCUACGGGUGGCAGCAGUGAGGAAUAUUGGUCAAUGGGCGCGAGCCUGAACCAGCCAAGUAGCGUGAAGGAUGACUGCCCUACGGGUUGUAAACUUCUUUUAUAAAGGAAUAAAGUGAGGCACGUGUGCCUUUUUGUAUGUACUUUAUGAAUAAGGAUCGGCUAACUCCGUGCCAGCAGCCGCGGUAAUACGGAGGUUCCGAGCGUUAUCCGGAUUUAUUGGGUUUAAAGGGAGCGUAGAUGGUAUGUUAAGUCAGUUGUGAAAGUUAGUGGCUCAACCGUAAAAUUGCAAUUGAUACUGGCAGCCUUGAGUACAGUUGAGGUAGGCGGAAUUCGUUGUGUAGCGGUGAAAUGCUUAGAUAGCACGAAGAACUCCGAUUGCGAAGGCAGCUUACUAAACUGCCACUGACAUUGAUGCUCGAAAGUGUGGGUAUCAAACAGGAUUAGAUACCCUGGUAGUC
rnacentral:rRNA from 1 species